rnacentral:rRNA from 1 species
GGGGAGUUUUCCGCAAUGGGCGAAAGCCUGACGGAGCAAUACCGCGUGAGGGAGGAAGGCUUUUGGGUUGUAAACCUCUUUUCUUAAGGAAGAAGAUCUGACGGUACUUAAGGAAUCAGCAUCGGCUAACUCCGUGCCAGCAGCCGCGGUAAUACGGAGGAUGCAAGCGUUAUCCGGAAUUAUUGGGCGUAAAGCGCCCGCAGGUGGCCUUUCAAGUCUGCUGUCAAAGACCAGAGCUCAACUCUGGGCCGGCGGUGGAAACUGGGAGGCUAGAGUACGGUAGGGGUAGAGGGAAUUCCCAGUGUAGCGGUGAAAUGCGUAGAGAUUGGGAAGAACACCAGUGGCGAAGGCGCUCUACUGGACCGAAACUGACACUCAGGGACGAAAGCUAGGGGAGCGAAAGGGAUUAGAUACCCCUGUAGUC